rnacentral:rRNA from 1 species
UACGGAGGGUGCGAGCGUUGUCCGGAAUCACUGGGCGUAAAGGGCGCGUAGGCGGCUCAUGAAGGCUGUGGUGAAAGUCCGGGGCUCAACCUCGGAUCGGCCGUGGCGACUCGUGGGCUGGAGCACUGUAGAGGCGGGUUGAAUUCCGGGUGUAGCGGUGGAAUGCGUAGAGAUCCGGAAGAACACCAGUGGCGAAGGCGGCCCGCUGGGCAGUGGCUGACGCUGAAGCGCGACAGCGUGGGGAGCAAACAGG